rnacentral:sRNA from 1 species
CAAAUGCCCCGUUGGCACAGCCUCUGCAUUAUCUGCCUUACAUAUGCCAGACCUUCAACGUGGAGGGUCGGGCUCCGAAUACGGAAAAAAGGACAAAGGCGUCCUCACUGGGAGAUCAGUGGGACGCC